rfam:Parcubacteria group bacterium CG1_02_41_26 cg1_0.2_scaffold_6449_c, whole genome shotgun sequence.
GAGUUUGAUCCUAGCUCAGGAUGAACGUUGGCGGCGUGGAUAAGGCAUGCAAGUCGCGCGAUCGUUUGUGCCUUUUUGGGUAUUUGAAAGUAGCGAGUGUAUGAGGUCAGACCUCCCCGAUACUGGGGCCCAGUUUUUUGGAGGUCUGACCUCAUACACUCGCUACCACAUUAACACCCAAAAAGGCGCAAACGAUAGCGGCGAACGAGUUAGUAACACGUGGGAACUAACCUAUAAGACUCGCAUAAUUCCGCGAAAGCGGAACUAAUACGAGAUGGUCUCUGUCUGUAAAAAGAUAAGAGUAAAGGAGAAAUCCGCUUAUAGAUAGGCCCGCGGCCUAUCAGCUUGUUGGUGGGGUAAUGGCCUACCAAGGCGAUGACGGGUAGGGGGCGUGAGAGCGCGUUCCCCAACGAUAGCACUGCGACACGGGCUAUACACCUACGGGUGGCUGCAGUCGAGAAUCUUCGGCAAUGGGCGCAAGCCUGACCGAGCGACGCCGCGUGCGGGAAGAAGAUCUUAGGGUUGUAAACCGCUUUUAUUAGGGAGGAACUUCGGUGACUGUACCUAAUGAAUAAGGGGGGGCUAAUCACGUGCCAGCAGCAGCGGUAAUACGUGACCCUCAAACGUUAUCCGGAUUUAUUGGGCGUAAAGAGUCUUAAGGCGGUUAAGUAAGUCCUUGGUCAAAUCUUCGGGGCUCAACCUCGAAACCGCCAGGGAAACUGCUUUUCUAGAGGACGUUAGAGGCCAGAGGAACGCACGGUGUAGGGGUGAAAUCCGUUGAUAUCGUGCGGAACACCAAAAGCGAAGGCAUCUGGCUGGGGCGAUCCUGACGCUGAACGACGAAAGCUAGAGCAGAAAAAAGGAUUAGAUACCCUUGUAUUUCUAGCUGUAAACGAUGGAUACUAGCUGGUGGAAGUAUCGACCCUUUCACUGGCGAAGCUAACGCGUUAAGUAUCUCGCC